UACAGAGGUCUCAAGCGUUGUUCGGAUUCAUUGGGCGUAAAGGGUGCGUAGGCGGCGUGGUAAGUCGGAUGUGAAAUCUCGGAGCUUAACUCCGAAACUGCAUUCGAUACUGCCGUGCUUGAGGACUGGAGAGGAGACUGGAAUUUACGGUGUAGCGGUGAAAUGCGUAGAUAUCGUAAGGAAGACCAGUGGCGAAGGCGGAUCUCUGGGCCUUACCUGACGCUGAGGCGCGAAAGCUAGGGGAGCAAACGGG
rnacentral:rRNA from 1 species